GACGAGCGCUGGCGGCGUGCCUAAUACAUGCAAGUCGAACGAGAGCGACCGGUGCUUGCACUGGUAAUCUAGUGGCGAACGGGUGAGUAACACGUGGGUAACCUGCCCAUCAGAGGGGGAUAACAUCCGGAAACGGAUGCUAAAACCGCAUAGGUCUUCGAACCGCAUGGUUUGAAGAGGAAAAGAGGCGCAAGCUUCUGCUGAUGGAUGGACCCGCGGUGCAUUAGCUAGUUGGUGAGGUAACGGCUCACCAAGGCCGUGAUGCAUAGCCGACCUGAGAGGGUGAUCGGCCACAUUGGGACUGAGACACGGCCCAAACUCCUACGGGAGGCAGCAGUAGGGAAUCUUCCGCAAUGGACGCAAGUCUGACGGAGCAACGCCGCGUGAGUGAAGAAGGUUUUCGGAUCGUAAAACUCUGUUGUUAGAGAAGAACAAGUGCUAGAGUAACUGUUAGCGCCUUGACGGUAUCUAACCAGAAAGCCACGGCUAACUACGUG
rnacentral:rRNA from 1 species